CAGAACUUUCCCUGAGCCUCGCCUCGCCUCGCUGCCUCCGCCGCGCAGCCCGCCUUGGCGCUGCCUCUGAUCCGCGCCGCCCGGACGGCCGGAUCCGUGCCAUGGCCUCCUCGCCGUCCCCAUCCCCUGCUGCACGGCCUCUAGUACUCGCAGCACCCCAUGAAGUUCGAGGCCGGGGAGGGCAGCAGUUGGAUGAGCGCUGCCGCGCGGCCGCCGGCCGGUGUCAUCGAACGGUACAAACAGUCGGCCACCGGCUGGCCUCGAAUCUUCUCGCGUCGUCCCCCCCCAAACUUCUCUGGCUUCUCAUCCCUCUCUUUCUUGUUCUGUUCCCUCUCACACAUCCUCCCCUGACGAACUCCUUCCCCAACGUCUCCAAUCUUGGCGUCCGCUGCCCGCUGCUGCAGGUGCUCUCUUGGCCAGCUUCACUGGUCUCGGCAUCCACCAACGAUUGACUUAGUUGCUAGCAAUGACAAAUAUUCCCUGCAGACAUAACUGCACAGGUUCAGACCAUAGUGGGAGAUCACCUAUUUGGACGAAAAGCUCCAAAUGAAUUGUUCACACUUUCCACAUCAGCUUUACCAUUCCUGUGGGUGAUCGAUUGGUGCUAUGCGCAAGAAAGAGGCGAGUGAUUCCCCUUAUGAGAUUUGUUGUUAUAUCCUAUUUCCAAUAUCUUUCAAGUCCGUGAGCUUGCAAUUUAGAACAUGUUUUUUUUUAAAAAAAAUAAGUGCAAUUUAGAACACUUAUUCUAUUUGUUCAGACAACUGCCUACUUUUGUUAGGAAAGUACAUCCUUUUAUUUAGUUUCAUGAGAGUAAUUUGUCAUCUAUUAAUAACUUUUAGAUGGGUGGUGUGCAAACAAACAAUUUGAUCAUAAAUAACUAAAAAAAUAACACAACAUCAAUUUGAACAGAAUAAGAAAGCAUUUUAACGAUCACUUUGGCCUGUGGUUAUCAGAAUACCAAGAACAUGGUCAGUUUUGUCUGUGCACCUGUUGUCACUGACAUGUGGUUAUUGAUCACAUUUUGAUUGACUUGAGCAAGCACAAUGAAAAAUAGUUAAUACUGACAAAUAAUUUUCAUAUUCAGAUCUUGCACUUCUCUUUACUGUUUGAAUAAUGCGGAAACUAAACCUUUGUCCAGUAAUAGUUCUCUUAUGCAUCACAAUUUCACGUAUUGACCCAUCCUAUGGCUAGGUCCAUGUACUUUGUUUUCAGAGGGUAUUAGAAAAAAAGGUUAGAGAAGCUCAUUUAUAUGUAAACUUACAUAUAUUUGUUUUCUGCUAUAUCUUACAAUUCAAUGACAAAACAAAUUACGACAAAGUUCUUAGCUAACAAAUUCUCACUGAUAACAACUAUACAUUUCCCUUAGCACCAUGGUCUGAUGAUGCUAGAUGCCAAACACAAGCAUGGAAAGUUCCAAUAACAAUAGAUGUCCAUGAUAUUCCUCUUUAUGAAUUUCACAUAAAAAGUCUUUCUGUAUUGCUUGAUCCCUACUGUGACAUCGAAACCUGUACCAUGGACAAAAAAAUAGGGAUUUGUACCGUCGAAGGGACUGCAUUGAGUGUCAAUUCCAUCCCAAACACAGGUUUCCUCUCAUACCCACGUCACACUGGUUACGAAACAGUCAUAUAUACAUUCCCUGUUACCAUGAAAACUAGCUUGUUAUCUGUACAAAAAAACUCCUCUGAUUGGAUACCACCUAAUGUACACUCACACAAUGAAAAUUCAUCUCACACUAAAGGUAACUACUAUUACUCCACUACAACAACUUACUAUACCUAAAACCUUAUUCAUAACUCUUUCAUUCCAGAUCCAGAAAAAGAUCUAGGCUCAGACAUGGUGAGGGAAUGCAACAGAGCUGUGUACGAAGCUGAAAUAGAAGAUGAAAGAAGAAUGAAGAAUAUACCUACCUUCCAUGGCUUCACAUAUUCUGGGGAAAGUUCGGACGAUGAGUACCCAAAUGAAGCCUACUAUUACGCCUGUCAAUUUACUACCUUUUCAUAUAUAGUAAACCAUUCUAGAUUGCGAUAAUUAGAGUACAUUAACAUUCAAAUUUUAUUUAAUCCUUGCAGACCCAGAUCGCGAACCAAAGAACUGAUAGUUCAAUGCGGGUGGUUGAGGCAUGCUCUGCCGUCGCGGCACGCGGAGCAGCUUUUGUCAGGCCUCACUGUAGACCGCAUAUUACCGAGGUACACAGUGCAGCCGCAUGCGCCGCAUCCGCGCAGAGCCCGUCUGCCGCAUUAAAUGGAUACGACGGCACAUCACCCUUUCAUCAUACCGCCUACGCCGCAAGCUACACGGCCCGUUCAGCUACGCGGCAGGCUACGGCAAGCUACGCCGCAAGCUACGCCCUGGCGCCAUUUCGACAAGACAAAUAGGGUUAGAGCAGUUCAAAAAACUAUCCAGAUCUGCACUCAUCAACAAGACAACAUGCAAUAUUGUUCCUAAGGCUUGGACGACUCAUCUUUUGAUAUUAAUGCAUAUAUCUAUGCAUGCCAUGUGUGUAUACAUGUAUAUACAUACAUAUACCUAUGUCAGUACUUAAACUUUCAAUGUAGUCCAAAAAUCAAUGAUCACUGCUUAUUUACAAGCGCCUUAUGUAAUAUAUUCAAACCCUCUAAAACCUACCAAA